AGCUCCAAUAGCGUAUAUUAAAGUUGUUGCAGUUAAAAAGCUCGUAGUUGGAUUUCUGGCAGAGAGACUAUGCCCGCACGUAGCGUGUGCAGAGGCUCUCUACCAUCCUUCUGUUAACCCUUCUAGUCAUUGACUUGACUGUUGGGAGCCCAGAUAUUUUACCUUGAGAAAAUUAGAGUGUUUCAGGCAGGCUAGCGCGUGGAUACAUUAGCAUGGAAUAAUGGAAUAGGACUUUUACCUCUUCUGUUGGUCUGAGGGGUUAAAGUAAUGAUUAAUAGGGAUAGUUGGGGGCAUUAGUACUUAACUGUCAGAGGUGAAAUUCUUGGAUUUGUUAAAGACUAACUUAUGCGAAAGCAUUUGCCAAAGAUGUUUUCA
rnacentral:rRNA from 1 species